GACGUAGGGGGCGAGCGUUGUCCGGAUUUAUUGGGCGUAAAGCGCGCGCAGGCGGUUCGGAAAGUCGAAUGUGAAAAUCCGGGGCUCAACCCCGGACGUGCAUCCGAUACUCCCGGACUGGAGGCAGGUAGGGGAGAGCGGAAUUCCCGGUGUAGCGGUGAAAUGCGCAGAUAUCGGGAAGAACACCGGUGGCGAAGGCGGCUCUCUGGACCUGUCCGUGACGCUCAGGCGCGAAAGCCUAGGGGAGCGAACAGG
rnacentral:rRNA from 1 species